UACGUAGGGGGCAAGCGUUAUCCGGAUUUACUGGGUGUAAAGGGAGCGUAGACGGCGAUGCAAGCCAGAUGUGAAAGCCCGGGGCUCAACCCCGGGACUGCAUUUGGAACUGUGUGGCUGGAGUGUCGGAGAGGCAGGCGGAAUUCCUAGUGUAGCGGUGAAAUGCGUAGAUAUUAGGAGGAACACCAGUGGCGAAGGCGGCCUGCUGGACGAUGACUGACGUUGAGGCUCGAAGGCGUGGGGAGCAAACAGG
rnacentral:rRNA from 1 species